rnacentral:lncRNA from 1 species
CUUUUUAAGAACACAUCCGUAAAAAAACGGACGCCCACCGGACAGAAGGGAUCAGAAGGGCAAUCAUAUCACAUCUUCUUUUUUAAAUAUAAAUGUACUGUUUUCGAUUUAAAAUGGAUGAACAUUUAAUUUUUAAUUUUAUACUGUAAGAAUAGAGCUGCAUAACAUUGUUGAACUAUUCGCUAAAGUACAUGUAGUAUGUAUUCGUAUUUAACAUGAAAUACAAAACGAAACAUGUAUGAUAAAAUGAUAAACAAAAUAUCAAGAAAUAAAGGAUGACUAAAUGCAUGUACAAGAAGAAACUCAC